rnacentral:rRNA from 1 species
UACACACCGCCCGUCACACCAUGGGAGUGGGUUGCAAAAGAAGUAGGUAGCUUAACCUUCGGGAGGGCGCUUACCACUUUGUGAUUCAUGACUGGGGUG